UUUGAUCAUGGCUCAGAUUGAACGCUGGCGGGAUGCUUUACACAUGCAAGUCGAACGGCGGCACGGACUUCGGUCUGGUGGCGAGUGGCGAACGGGUGAGUAAUGUAUCGGAACGUGCCUAGUAGCGGGGGAUAACUACGCGAAAGCGUAGCUAAUACCGCAUACGCCCUUCGAGGAAAGCGGGGGGACCUUCCGGGCCUCGCACUAUUAGAGCGGCCGAUAUCGGAUUAGCUAGUUGGUGGAGUAACGGCUCACCAAGGCGACGAUCCGUAGCUGGUUUGAGAGGACGACCAGCCACGCUGGGACUGAGACACGGCCCAGACUCCUACGGGAGGCAGCAGUGGGGAAUUUUGGACAAUGGGAAACCCUGAUCCAGCCAUCCCGCGUGUGCGAUGAAGGCCUUCGGGUUGUAAAGCACUUUUGGCAGGAAAAGAAACGGCACGGGAUAAUACCCCGUGCAACUGACGGUACCUGCAGAAUAAGCACCGGCUAACUACGUGCCAGCAGCCGCGGUAAUACGUAGAGGUGCAAGCGUUAAUCAAGGAUACUGGGCGUAAAGCGUGCGCAGGCGGUUCGGGAAAGAAGAUGUGAAAUCAGAGCUUAACUUUGGAACUGCAUUUUUAACUACCGAGCUAGAGUGUGUCAGAGGGAGGUGGAAUUCCGCGUGUAGCAGUGAAAUGCGUAGAUAUGCGGAGGAACACCGAUGGCGAAGGCAGCCUCCUGGGAUAACACUGACGCUCAUGCACGAAAGCGUGGGAGCAAACAGGAUUAGAUACCCUGGUGGUCCACGCCUAAACGAUGUCAACUAGCUGUUGGGGCCUUCGGGCCUUGGUAGCGUAACUAACGCGUGAAGUUGACCGCCUGGGGAGUACGGUCGCAAGAUUAAAACUCAAAGGAAUUGACGGGGACCCGCACAAGCGGUGGAUGAUGUGGAUUAAUUCGAUGCAACGCGAAAAACCUUACCUACCCUUGACAUGUCUGGAAUC
rnacentral:misc_RNA from 1 species